CAGUCGAACGAUGAAGCUCCAGCUUGCUGGGGUGGAUUAGUGGCGAACGGGUGAGUAACACGUGAGUAACCUGCCCUCUUCUCUGGGAUAACUCCGGGAAACCGGUGCUAAUACUGGAUAUGACUCCAACCUGCAUGGGUAUGGGGUGGAAAGAUUUAUCGGGAGCGGAUGGACUCGCGGCCUAUCAGCUUGUUGGUGGGGUAAUGGCCUACCAAGGCGACGACGGGUAGCCGGCCUGAGAGGGUGACCGGCCACACUGGGACUGAGACACGGCCCAGACUCCUACGGGAGGCAGCAGUGGGGAAUAUUGCACAAUGGGCGAAAGCCUGAUGCAGCGACGCCGCGUGAGGGAUGACGGCCUUCGGGUUGUAAACCUCUUUCAGCUCUGACGAAGCUUUUGUGACGGUAGGAGCAGAAGAAGCACCGGCUAACUACGUGCCAGCAGCCGCGGUAAUACGUAGGGUGCGAGCGUUGUCCGGAAUUAUUGGGCGUAAAGAGCUUGUAGGCGGUUUGUCGCGUCUGCUGUGAAAUCCCGGGGCUUAACUCCGGGCUUGCAGUGGGUACGGGCAGGCUAGAGUAUGGUAGGGGAGACUGGAAUUCCUGGUGUAGCGGUGGAAUGCGCAGAUAUCAGGAGGAACACCGAUGGCGAAGGCAGGUCUCUGGGCCAUUACUGACGCUGAGAAGCGAAAGCGUGGGGAGCGAACAGGAUUAGAUACCCUGGUAGUCCACGCCGUAAACGUUGGGCGCUAGGUGUGGGUCCCAUUCCACGGGGUCCGUGCCGCAGCUAACGCAUUAAGCGCCCCGCCUGGGGAGUACGGC
rnacentral:rRNA from 1 species